CGAUCCCAUCCCGAACUCGGCAGUUAAGUGCUACUGCGCCAAUGGUACUGCGUCUUAAGACGUGGGAGAGUAGGUCACCGCCAAUC
rnacentral:rRNA from 1 species